rnacentral:rRNA from 1 species
CAGUCGAGCGGACAGAUGGGAGCUUGCUCCCUGAUGUUAGCGGCGGACGGGUGAGUAACACGUGGGUAACCUGCCUGUAAGACUGGGAUAACUCCGGGAAACCGGGGCUAAUACCGGAUGCUUGUUUGAACCGCAUGGUUCAGACAUAAAAGGUGGCUUCGGCUACCACUUACAGAUGGACCCGCGGCGCAUUAGCUAGUUGGUGAGGUAACGGCUCACCAAGGCGACGAUGCGUAGCCGACCUGAGAGGGUGAUCGGCCACACUGGGACUGAGACACGGCCCAGACUCCUACGGGAGGCAGCAGUAGGGAAUCUUCCGCAAUGGACGAAAGUCUGACGGAGCAACGCCGCGUGAGUGAUGAAGGUUUUCGGAUCGUAAAGCUCUGUUGUUAGGGAAGAACAAGUGCCGUUCAAAUAGGGCGGCACCUUGACGGUACCUAACCAGAAAGCCACGGCUAACUACGUGCCAGCAGCCGCGGUAAUACGUAGGUGGCAAGCGUUGUCCGGAAUUAUUGGGCGUAAAGGGCUCGCAGGCGGUUUCUUAAGUCUGAUGUGAAAGCCCCCGGCUCAACCGGGGAGGGUCAUUGGAAACUGGGGAACUUGAGUGCAGAAGAGGAGAGUGGAAUUCCACGUGUAGCGGUGAAAUGCGUAGAGAUGUGGAGGAACACCAGUGGCGAAGGCGACUCUCUGGUCUGUAACUGACGCUGAGGAGCGAAAGCGUGGGGAGCGA